AAGGCAACUGGCGGAGUGGCGGCUCCACCAGAGCCUGGGAGCUGCCCCCGCCCCCGAGCCGCGAGCCCCGCGCCGGGCCGGGGAGUCCCCGGCGCCACACGCCCCCACCACCCCCAUCUUAGCGCCCCCCACCCUCUAUGGAGACAUUUCAACCAGGGAGAAGGGAAGUCCUGCCCUUGCCCCUCGCCCCCGCCCUGCUCCUCCAACAGGGGAGACUUCUGUCCAAACCUUGGAAAGAAACGAGAUGCCAGGCCUAGCGCCUUCGGGGAUCCUCUCUGGACAAGGCCACAGGGUGAAAACACCAGGUGAGGACUUCACUACCCUUGGGGCCACCAUGGGACCCUGGAGACCUUUGCCUCCCUCCAGGCGCCCCCGACCCCUUAAACUUUUUCUCCCUGAGCUCAGCCUGGAGCAGAGUUAGGAUCCUGGGAAAGCCCCUUACCAGUUGCUCCAACCCCCUCCUUAAACUGGAAGGGAAACUGAGGCCCAGAGAAAAGUAGUGAUUGACUAGGGCCACAUGGCACGUUCCUAGAGGAAGAGCAUGGGCCAGAACCCACAGAUGCUGACCUCCUGGCCAGAGGUCAAGGCAUUCCUUAUGGUUGAGCAUAGCCAGCCCCGUGUGCCAGUAUCCAGCCCCUGCCCUGCACCAAGCAGAGGGGCUGGACACCUCUGUCAUGGCACCAGCUGCCUCUCCUUCCCCAGCACAGUCUGGACCUGGGCGGACUUUUUGGAAAAGCUUCUGGAUGCCACGGACUCCACGACCAACCAACUAGGUUGCUGCUGCUUGCAAACAUCGCCUCCAUUGAAGGAUUCCUGCAGCCACCAGCUCUGGAACUUUCUGGAACCAAACAUUUCCCCAGACUGCCUACAAGGACCAAUUGGCCUCUGGAUCACUUCCUGGAGGCGUUUGACCGGGACCUGGGAGGGCAGCUGAGAAGUGCCUGACCAUUCUCAAGGAGCUGCGUGGAUUCCAGACAUCUCUGGGCUGGUCUCUGGACCGGGAUGGGGGACCCAGAGGUGGAGCCGAACACACAAGCAGCACUUGAGGGCUCCGAGGGUGGCAAGGAGAGAAGUUCCUGCUCUGGUACAGCCCUGGGACCUUGAAAGGUGCUUCAACAGAGCGUCCACUCCCAGCGCCUAGCUCUGGGACCUUGAAUGGUGCUUUAACAGAGCGUCUGCUCCCAGCGCCAAGCCCUCAGUGCAGAGGGGGAGACUCAGGCGGCCCUCAGACACAAUUCGCCAAGGUCGCACAGCAAGUCAGGGUGCCGCUAAGACUAGGACCUACAGCUCUGCCUCCUGGCCCAGGCUCCUCAGCACCUGGGCCCCAGAGGACAGCCUGUGGGAGGCCCACAUGGCCACUGCACCAUGAACCAAGGACCUGGUCCGGGUCCACCUCCACCAAGUGCUGGCCGUGUGUCACUGGGGUCACUCCACUCUCUGCAUUAGGUCUCAGUCAUCCAAGACCAUCUUUCAAGGGCCGUCACUCCAAUUAUGAGUCUGGGAUUUUCUGAAAUUGAGCAUUUUGGCCAGGCUGUGGGGUCCCUCUAUGACUGCCUGUAAGACACUGCCAAGGGGACUUUCUUCCUUUCACCAGACUGAAGCUAAGAAGUGCUGGAGACAGCAGUUGCUUUAGCCACAGGCUGUGUAGACCACCUGAGGAUGACCUGGGGGUCUGUUUUGUGCACCUUGGAACCCAUCGGAUCCCUCCAAUGACACAUUUGUCCAGAGCAAGACAAGAUCACACUUUGACAGCCCUCUGUCAAGAUCCUUGCUCCAAAUCUCCAGACUAGCAGCCAGGAGUCUCCAUGCUGUUCUGAAGAAGCAGAUUCCUCACCCACCCUUCAACUCCUUCCCAGGAGGUAAUCCUCCUCCAAAUCUCUGGAAAAGAUACACCUCCUCUUCUCUGAUAAAGGCUGGGGGGUGAUGCCCCUCCCCCAGUUUCCCAAUAAAGCUAUGCAAGACAGGAGCAAGGGAUCUCACGGCCUGUUUUUGCUACAAAAACCCUUUUUCGGAAAAAAUAAUAAAGAAAGGAAUCAGCCAAUCCCUCCUCGAUGCCAUCACCUCUUCUCGGUGAUUUUUCGGGGAAGGAGUGGGUGGGUUGCUAUGGCAACAGAUGCGAGCUCGUCUCAGUAAAGAAGGGACCUUGAUAUUUUUUUCUCUCUCUCAUUCUCUCAGUUGUGUGUGUGUGCGUGCAUGUGUAUGUGCGCCUGUGUGUGUGUGCAUGCGCGCUACACAUGCCUGUGCCCACACCAGGAAUUUUUUUUUUUUAGAACUAAAGAAAGCCCUUCUCUUCUCUCAGCUCUCCAAAUAUGGAGUGAUGGAAAACCACUUACUCCUGCAGGCCAGGGAGAAUUCAGGAUGAUUCAAGAGAAAAGGGAGAGGUCAUGUGGGGCUCCUUUCCUCCAUGUUUUUACUAGAGAUUGCAUGCAACAAGAGAGCUUUGCAAAUGGUUAGGGGGCCUUUGGAAAGAGGAGAAGAUGUUAGGUGGAAAGAGGUGAGCAAGAUAUAGAUGGUGCAGGAACUCAACGGGUGACCUCAGAGAGGGCAACAGAAGCUAUAUUGAGUCUGGGGACGCAUGUACAUCCCACCACACCAUCAGAUGCUGAAAGACCCAGAGCAGACUCAGAUAUGGACACAAACACAGACACUGACAGAAAGGCAUAUGGAAAAUUGUAGACAUAAAUACACACAGGCACAAACAUAGAACUGCACAGAACAUAGGAAGUUGGAGACAAAAAAAAAAGACAAGCAUAGAUGCAGGCAUAGGUAAACAUAGAUAUACAGGGGUACAGACUCGCAGCUACAAAGACACAUGCAAACAGAUAGAGAUGUAGACAUCCAACCACCUCCAGACAGGUUUGGAGGCAGACACACAGGACACACAAACACAGUCUCAGUCAAAUGAACACACACACACACAAACACACAGACACACACACAGAGUCUGGCUCUUUUCCUUCAAUUGCCCAAGCAUCCUUGAGCAGUAGUGCAUAGCUGAGGAUGCUGCACGCUUGCCCAGUAGGUUUGGCUGAGAGGCUUGCUCUCCCAUUCCUUCUACACGCUCACCCCAAAGCCCCUCUCCCAAUUCACUCCCUUGCCCACUUUCCCACAGCCAGCAGGCUCUGAUGCCUCCCCCAUCUCAGGCUUCUAAUUCUUAGCUUGUUCUGCUGCUGCCUGCCACUUGGGGGAGAGAGUGGGGUGACUCAGCCAGGCCAGGAUGACUCACACUGCCAGUAUUUUUAGCAGCGGCCAGGAGCUCUCUAGUGUGCCAGCCGCCCCCCUCCUCCUGCUUGCUAUUUCGGAACCGUCACUGGUGAUAUAAAUAGCUCCUCUCCCACGGCCUGAAGCUGCUGCCAAGCUAUUUUUGGUUCUGCACAGUUAAAAAUAGCUUCACGGAGGUGGGAGGCAAGGGGAGUGGGAGCUGGCCUAGGGAGAGGAGACAUUGGGGCACACAGAGCUUCUCAACUUGAAUCAGAGUGGGCGAACUAGGAUGAGCCCUUCUCUACCCCCUCCCUUGUCCCUUUCUAGACCCUUCUUCCCUUCCAAAGUGUUUCUUCCCAUUCCAUUCUCCUGGAAAAAGCCAGGGGCUCUUCCCCUGAGCCCAGUUCUCCUCCCUUGCUUACUUCACCCUUAGAGCCCAGAAAUCUUGGCCCCCUGCAAACCCUCCAUAUUCAUUCACAGAGAAUAAGGGGACAGUCAAAGAGUAGGCUCACUCUGAGGCCUGUGGGUACCCAAGCCCUACGUCGAUGUCCCCGGCAAACCGUAGCAUGACUUCCAUGGUGACUCUUUCAGCACCACGGACAGCGGUCGGCGCAGUAUUCCUUCACUGCAGAUUCGCUCAGAUUGCUGGAGGCCAUGACACCCAGCCAGUAGACUCCUCUUAUUGUGGAGGGGGACACUCAGAAUGCCUCACAGGCAGCUUUAGCAUCAGUGAAUGAAGAACACAGGAACAACCCCCCUGGAAUUUCAUACGGAAGGGGAUCCAAAGAUCAAGGGAUUGUUCAAAUGGAAGAUUGAGAGAGGGGUGGGUAGGUACAUUAGAGGUCAGAUUGAGAAGAAAGAAGCAACACAGACCCAUGUCCAGGAGGAAUCAUCUCUCUGUCAUCCAGGUCAAUGGGGUUAGAGACAGUGGCAGACAGAUAAGCGGACAUCGUUCCCUCCACCUCAGCUGUGACACUGACCACAGGAUGGCCCCAACCUCUGCCAAAAUGCAUAAGACACCAGAAUAGGGUCUCCACACCUUGUACACCUCUUCUAAGACAUACUUCUCCUCAGCCGCCUCUCCUCCCACUCUACCUCUCUUACUACCACCCCUUUCCAUGAGGAGCGGAGAGUUCCCUGGCCCCAAAUUGUCCUUUUUGAUGUCAAAGUUCAUCUCCAUGCUUCCUGUGUGACUGGGACUUCCCAGUCCCACCCUCCAAUUUUUAAGUGGCCUCAUUUCCAGCCACUUAAGUGAUUCCAUGCGCACACAGCUACUCCAUCAAACGAGAUUUCAGAUAAGAACAUUCCCUAGCCCACUUGCUUCUUGCAUUAUUGAAUCCCAGGAUAAGAACGGCACAUCCUCGCCCCUGUAGAGAGCAAUCAUCUGUGGUGAAAAGAGAAAAAAAG
rnacentral:lncRNA from 1 species